GAUGAACGCUGGCGGCGUGCCUAAUACAUGCAAGUCGAGCGAACGGACGAGAAGCUUGCUUCUCUGAUGUUAGCGGCGGACGGGUGAGUAACACGUGGAUAACCUACCUAUAAGACUGGGAUAACUUCGGGAAACCGGAGCUAAUACCGGAUAAUAUUUUGAACCGCAUGGUUCAAAAGUGAAAGACGGUCUUGCUGUCACUUAUAGAUGGAUCCGCGCUGCAUUAGCUAGUUGGUAAGGUAACGGCUUACCAAGGCAACGAUGCAUAGCCGACCUGAGAGGGUGAUAGGCCAAACUGGAACUGAGAAACGGUCCAGACUCCUACGGGAGGCAGCAGUAGGGAAUCUUCCGCAAUGGGCGAAAGCCUGACGGAGCAACGCCGCGUGAGUGAUGAAGGUCUUCGGAUCGUAAAACUCUGUUAUUAGGGAAGAACAUAUGUGUAAGUAACUGUGCACAUCUUGACGGUACCUAAUCAGAAAGCCACGGCUAACUACGUG
rnacentral:rRNA from 1 species